rnacentral:rRNA from 1 species
GACGAACGCUGGCGGCGUGCUUAACACAUGCAAGUCGAACGGAAAGGCCCAGCUUGCUGGGUGCUCGAGUGGCGAACGGGUGAGUAACACGUGGGUGAUCUGCCUCUAACUUCGGGAUAAGCCUGGGAAACUGGGUCUAAUACCGGAUAUGACAAUCGUUUAGUGUCGGUUGUGGAAAGUUUUUUCGGUUAGGGAUGAGCCCGCGGCCUAUCAGCUUGUUGGUGGGGUAAUGGCCUACCAAGGCGUCGACGGGUAGCCGGCCUGAGAGGGUGGACGGCCACAGUGGGAAGGAGAGACGGGCGAGACUCCGACUGGAGGCAGCAGGGGGGAAGAUUGCACAAGGGGAGGAAGCCGGAGGCAGCAACGCCGCGGGCGGGAUGAUGGCCGUGGGGUUGUAAACCGCUUGCGCCUGUGACGAAGCGUGAGUGACGGUAAUGGGUAAAGAAGAAAGGGCUAACUAAGUG